CAGUGGGGAAUAUUGGACAAUGGGCGAAAGCCUGAUCCAGCCAUGCCGCGUGUGUGAAGAAGGUCUUCGGAUUGUAAAGCACUUUAAGUUGGGAGGAAGGGCAGUAAGUUAAUACCUUGCUGUUUUGACGUUACCAACAGAAUAAGCACCGGCUAACUUCGUGCCAGCAGCCGCGGUAAUUAAACUG
rnacentral:rRNA from 1 species